GCUUUCUGCAGCUUUUUCAACUUCAUGCAUCCAUUUUUAUUCUUCAUUCAUUCAUGGAAUUCAUUCAUUUUCAAUUAAAUAGAUUGCACGCAAACUUGAAGCAGUUAAUCCAACUAAGGAGCCACUCAAAUCUACUUUACUGGACGGAAAAUGGGAGCUUAUAUACACUACCUCUCAGUCUAUUUUGCAAACUCAGGUAAACUAUUUUUAUUUUUUCCUUACCAUAUAUGUAGGCCUUGUUUGGAUAAAUAGUUUAAUUAAGCGUUCAUGCUAUAAGAGUUUACUGUAUAAGUGCUUAUGUAUAACUUAUUUCUAUAAGUAGAUAAGCUCAAAACCCACUUUGGUUGGUCUGGUGGUGGUAUUGUCUUGGGACCUGGGAGUGUGCUCCUCCUUGAGGUCUCAGGUUUGAUUCUCUCUGGUGCCAAUUUGGGUGGGCUAAUUUAGCUUCUUCAAAAAAAAAAAGUAGAUAAGCUCAAAUAAGUCAAUCCAGAUAGAUCAUAAUUCCUUUUUGGUUUUAUAUCUGUAUCGCGCUCAUAAAUCAUUCGAUAUAUGUUAGGCAUUAUAUAUGAUGCAUCUUUGUUGUGUAUUUCAUAUGAAAAAUGUGAGCAGCUACAUAACAUUUAUAUGCUACUAUAUCCACUCAUUUGACUACCCAUCUAGAUUGAUCAAUGCUGCUAGUGGCUUUUAUAGGUUUUUUAUUUAUACUCAUAUAAUGAAGGAAAUGCUAGCUCAAUGUCUAUUUCCUUUACAGCAGAACUUGACUUAUAUCGUAAGUCUUAACAACCUUUCUCUAAUUCCUAGGUUAUAUAUUUUGCUUUUGUUAUUCCCUUUCAUUUUUGUGAGAUUAGAGGAUUCUUCAAUAGAUUUAGAAAAGGAAGAAAGAAAAAAAAAAGAUUAGUUUAUUAAGCCUCGCUGUUAACAAUACUUUAUACUUGUAUUACACAAAAUACAUACUAAAAAUCAUAUUUAGAAUAAAAAACCAGUAAGCUCAUAAUUUCAUAAAAACUGGUUGGUUUGAUUUUUUUUACUCUGUUUCGGUUUUGUGAGCUAACUUUCUGGUCUUCGGGCUCGCCUGUUUAAGACUUCAUUUAAAUUUUAAACAUGCCUCCUAAACUACGAUCUAGCCUGGUACAUUUUGGCAGUGUUACUUUUAUAUGUUCCUCUCUUAGAUAAACUGAUAAUGAAUGAAGUUAAAGGAUUGCUUAGUUGCCUUUUUGGUUUUCAUCUCUUAGAUAAUGACAGUGUACUAACAUUUUCAAAAACUGUAAUGACAGAGGCCAAAGUUUUUGAGAUCAGUUACAAAUUAUCAAGCAAUCAAUGCCGAUACUCUCAGGGCCCAAAACAUGGAAUCUAGGCCAUUCUUCAACCAGGUAACACUAAGUGAAAUUGAGAUAAGUUCUCACCAUUUAUGUGUUCUCGCUCUAACAUUUGCAUGUGUAAAUGAAUCAAUAUAUUGUGUAGGUGACAGCAGAUUUAACACCUCUUAAUGCAAGAAAAGUGGCUGUGAAAUUCGACACCUUCAAAAUUGCAGGCUUCGUGAGUAUUCAGAUCGAGUCUCAGUAAUCAUCAUUGAAAUCAAAUUUUGUAAUGUUUCUAGAUGAGGUGGCUUAGGAACCUCUAAUUCUAAUUAUCUUACAAGAUCCAGCAAAAUGUUACAUUUGCAGAUACCUGUUAAGGCUCCUGAUACAGCUCGCGGUUCCCUGGAAAUAACAUAUUUGGAUGAAGAACUGAGGUGAGUAGCACGUUAUUCUUGUAUGUUUAUAAACUGCGUUAGACCUUGUGUACCUAAUCUCAACUUUAAAUUGAUUUACUAUCACCAUGUGGUAUAUAUAUAGAUAUUAUCAAGUACUUGUUUUCAUACUUUCUCAUUUUGACAGGGUAUCAAGAGGUGACAAAGGAAACUUGUUCAUCUUGAAAAUGGUGGAUCCAUCUUACCGGGUUCCUGCAUGAUAUGUUGUCACUAUAUACUAUAUAUAGAUAGCGCCUUAUUGCCAUCGUGUUUUCUUCUUUCUGAAGUUGGAACUUAUACUAGCAAGCCAAUGUGUAACCACUAUUCAAGGCAAGCUAACUUGAAGCAUUUUGGAAUACAAAGUUUCUAGGUAAAUUGAAAUAGUGUGAAUCAAUAUAAUAAUGUAAUGCAUCUUUCUUUCCCUUGAAUGUGGAAAACUGAUUUAAAAGUUGUUCGAAAGUCUUUACGUAUUGAUAUGAAUAUAUUAUCAGCUAAAGCUUUGUUCUGAAGGCAUGGAAUGAUUGAGAAACAUUUAUCUAUCUUAGACACUUGUUAAUAUAGUCUUUGUUAAAAUUGAUGAAAGCAACGUAAAUGCCUAGACGAAGCUGUCAAUAAGUUUUGUUGCAAAUUGUAUUUUUGUUUAUUUUACUGAGAUGUACCAAAGCGAAUGAAUUCCACUCUACUUUCGCAGCGAUCUUCUCCAACAUUAUUUCUCACAACUUUUAUCUUGCCAUUUUCUGUUCCUUGUAAACUCUGUUAGAU
rnacentral:lncRNA from 1 species